GACAGAGGGUGCAAACGUUGUUCGGAAUUACUGGGCGUAAAGCGCGUGUAGGCGGCUCUGCAAGUCGGGUGUGAAAUCCCAUGGCUCAACUAUGGAAGUGCACUCGAAACUGCAGGGCUAGAGUCCUGGAGAGGAAGGUGGAAUGCUUGGUGUAGAGGUGAAAUUCGUAGAUAUCAAGCGGAACACCGGUGGCGAAGGCGGCCUUCUGGACAGUGACUGACGCUGAGACGCGAAAGCGUGGGGAGCAAACAGGG
rnacentral:rRNA from 1 species